rnacentral:rRNA from 1 species
UACGGAGGGUGCAAGCGUUAUCCGGAUUCACUGGGUUUAAAGGGUGCGUAGGUGGGUUGGUAAGUCAGUGGUGAAAUCUCCGUGCUUAACAUGGAAACUGCCAUUGAUACUACUGAUCUUGAAUUUUCAGGAGGUAAGCGGAAUAUGUCAUGUAGCGGUGAAAUGCUUAGAUAUGACAUAGAACACCAAUUGCGAAGGCAGCUUACUACAGGAAUACUGACACUGAUGCACGAAAGCGUGGGGAUCAAACAGG